rnacentral:rRNA from 1 species
CGUACACUCCUGCGGGAGGCAGCAGUGGGGAAUAUUGGACAAUGGGCGCAAGCCUGAUCCAGCCAUGCCGCGUGAGUGAUGAAGGCCCUAGGGUUGUAAAGCUCUUUCACCGGUGAAGAUAAUGACGGUAACCGGAGAAGAAGCCCCGGCUAACUUCGUGCCAGCAGCCGCGGUAAUACGAAGGGGGCUAGCGUUGUUCGGAUUUACUGGGCGUAAAGCGUACGUAGGCGGACUAUUAAGUCAGGGGUGAAAUCCCGGGGCUCAACCCCGGAACUGCCUUUGAUACUGGUAGUCUUGAGUUCGAGGGAGGUGAGUUGAAUUCCGAGUGUAGAGGUGAAAUUCGUAGAUAUUCGGAGGAACACCAGUGGCGAAGGCGGCUCACUGGCUCGAUACUGACGCUGAGGUGCGAAAGCGUGGGGAGCAAACAGGAUUAGAAACCCGGGUAGUCC